AGCCUUUCAAAGCCUUUGAUAGUUCUAUUCUAAUAAUCAUAAAGUGUUUUCACUAAUCUAAACAACAAUUAAAUUCCUAUUUCAUUAACCUCAGUGAAUACUCAAUAGACGAAAAAGAUAUGUCGCCGGGCUGAGUACGAGGCAGGCAAAAGCGGAGGACUUGAAAAAUUCCCGUAGAGUGCGUAGUUUGCAUAUAUGCGGGCGGACGCAGGACGAGCGCAUCAUAAAACAACAAGGACAGAACACCAAAAAUAUUUACAAAAAAUUACGCUUAAAUGCAAUUUUUGGCAUAUUUCUUUUUCGACUCAUAUGCAUGCGGCGCCUGUGAUUUACGAUGAUGCAAAAGGAACUCGAAGCAGCAGGACGAAGUGAAGCCAGGCAGUUGCGUAAUGCUCCUUGAAGUGCUUCAUGCAUCCGGCGCCGCGGUGGGCAAUUAAAAGUCAAUGCAAUAAAGCCACCAAAGUGCAAUUCAUACAUCGUUAAAUAGCCCCUCCGGCGCAACACUCGCAGCUUGCCUAGCAACGGAGCCCCGUCGGUAUUGUCGGCGGGUAUUGAAACUGGAACUCAACCCGCCAAUGUGAU